rnacentral:lncRNA from 1 species
CUGGCUGCUUCUGGUCAUUUUCCAUACCAACCCUCUUCCUGCUCACCACUCACGCCAGAGUCCAAGGAGCCCCAGUCCUGCCAUGUGCUUCCUUGGAGUUGUUUGUCUUCCAGAAUUCAGGUGCUGAAGCCCUUUGGUGUGCUAGAGACCUUGAGAGAGGUUAGCAGAAACACUGAAUCUCAAAGGGAUUUACAUGAAGUCUUCGUGGGACACAGAAUCUCUGUCAUGUGACUUCUCUGAGCCUGGCCUACAGAUUGAGUUCCAGGACAGCCAAGACUACACAGAGAAACCCUAUUUUGAAAAAACAAACAAACAACAGAGAAUUCUCAACAGAGGAAUCUCAAAUGGCCGAGAAGCACUUAAAGAAAUGUUCAACAGCCUUAGCUGUCAGGGUAAUGCGAAUCAAAAUGCCUCCAAGAUUCUAUCUGACAUCUGUCAGAAUGGCUAAGUUCAAAAACUCAAGCAACAGCCCGUGCUGUUGGGGAUGCGAGGCAAGAGGGACACGGCUCCAUUACUGGUGUGAACUCAAACUUGUACAGCCACUUCGGAAAAUUAAUAUGGCAGUUUCUCAAAAAACAAAAGCAAAAGAAGAAGAAGAAUUGGGAAUAGAUUUAUCUCAAAACCCAGCUAUAUCACUCCUGGGCAUACACCCAAAGGAAGCUCCACUAUACCAUAGGGACCCUCGCUCAGAUCUGUUCAUAGCAGCUGGAAUGUAAGCUGGAAAUGGCCUAUAUAGUCCUCAACCGAAGAAUGGAUAAAGAGAAUGUGUGUUUACACAAUGGAGUAGUGCUCAGCUGUUAAACACAUCAUGACAUUUAUAGGCAAAUGCAUGGAACUAGAAAAAAAUAUCAUCCUCAGUAAGAUAUCCCUGCUUGCACCCUGAGAACUCCAAUCCUGUGUCGAUGCUGGACCCCAACAUAUUAGCCAUAAAGUACAGGAUAACCAUGCUUCAAUCCACAGACCCAGAGAAGCUAAUAACAAGAAAAGCUCAAGGGGGGGACGAAUGGGUCUCCCUGGGGAGGAGAAAUGGAGUAGACACCACAGGUGAAAAUGCAGGACAGGGGCCGGGGGAACGACACUGGACCAGUGGGCUCAGGUGUGGGGGAGAAGAGAGGGAGAGACUACUGUACUUGGGGGGCAUCUCAGGGAUGAGCUAGAAACCUAAUGCAAUGGAAACUCUCAGGAACCCAUGAGGGUGACCCUAGCUAAGACUCCUGGCAAUGGGGAUAUGAAGCCCAAACUGACCAUCUCCUAUAACUAGGCCAGAUUUCCAGUGGAGAGACUGGGAUACCAACCAAGCCACAAAACCUUCGACCUACAAUUUGUCCUGCCUACAAGAUGUGUUGGGGUAAAGGUGGUGCAGAAAUUGUGGGAGUGGCCAAUCAAUGACUGGUCUAGCUUGAGACCCAUGCCAGAGAGGGAGCCCAGAUCUGACACGGCCUGGAGGGCCAAGAACCAGAGGCCAGAUAGCCCAGAGACCUAGGAUAGAGCCACACAUGCCUGGGGUGGGGAGUGUGGAAAAGAUCCCUAAUAAUAUUCUGCUAUACUUAUAGACAGGAUCUAAUGCCCUCCAUCUGCCCCCUGUGGGCACCAUACAUAUGUGGCAUAGACAGACAGACAGACAGACAGACAGACAGACACACACACACACAUCUAACAAAAAGUAAUCAGGCAAUACAUGCUCACUUAACAAAAGCUAACAGAGACAACUUUAAAGAUCAGUUUAGUUGGGAAUAAAGGUUUAAAAAGUUUGGGGCUUUCUGUGUGUGAUAAUUAACUAGCUGCUUCUGGCCAAUUCUAGCCCUUGAUAAAGUCUCAUAGAUUUUAGCCAGAAUAUGGUAGCUUCUAGAUAGUUACCAAGCUAACCCAGACAACUGCCAAAAAGAACUCCCUUUGGGGGCUGUCGAGACAGGGUUUCUCUGUGUAGCCCUGGCUGUCCUGAAACUCACUCUGUAGACCAGGCUAGCCUUAAACUCAAGA